rfam:Paenibacillus sp. Soil522 contig_61, whole genome shotgun sequence.
GAACGCCGGAUGCCGGGAAACUGGCACGUCCGGUGUGGAGCAGGGGAAAAGCUGGAGAUCACAUCAAAUGCUUACCUAUUGCGAC